UACGGAGGAUGCGAGCGUUAUCCGGAUUUAUUGGGUUUAAAGGGUGCGUAGGCGGCUUAGUAAGUCAGCGGUGAAAUUUUGCAGCUUAACUGUAACAGUGCCGUUGAUACUGGGGAGCUAGGAUUUGGUUGCUGUGGGUGGAAUGUGUGGUGUAGCGGUGAAAUGCUUAGAGAUCACACAGAAUAUCGAUUGCGAAGGCAGCUCACAAAGCCAAGAUUGACGCUGAGGCACGAAAGUGUGGGGAUCAAACAGGA
rnacentral:rRNA from 1 species